CAAUAGCGUAUAUUAAAGCUGUUGCGGUUAAAAAGCUCGUAGUUGGAUUUCUGUCAAGGACAACUGGUCCGCCCCUCGGGUGAGCACAUAGUUUGGUCUUGGCAUCUUGUUGGAAACUGUUGCUGCACUUGGUUGUGUGGCGCAGUGUCCAGCACUUUCACUUUGAGGAAAUUGGAGUGUUUCAAGCAGGCACAUGCCUUUGGACACAGUAGCAUGGAAUAAUUAGAUUGGGCUUUUGCUCCAACUUGUCGGUUUCUGGAGCUGAGGUGAGAAUUAAUGGGGAUUGUUGGGGGCAUCCGAAUUUAGCCGUCAGAGGUGAAAUUCUUGGAUCUGCUAAAGACGGACAACUGCGAAAGCGUUUGCACAGGAUGUUUUCAUUGA
rnacentral:rRNA from 1 species